rnacentral:lncRNA from 1 species
GAAUCCCAGGCUUGAACCAGGGAGGUGGAGGUUGCAGUGAGCCAAGAUUGCACCUCUGCACUUCAGCCUGGGUGACAGAGUGAGACCCUGUCUCAAGAAAAAAAAAAAAAAAAAACCGCAAAAAACUGAUGAGUAAUGCAAAGGAAGCAGGUGACUGAUUUUUUUUUUUCCUUUUCAUUUUUGGAAUUUUUAACAGGUUAGAUUGGAUCACAAUGGAAAAUUUUUGAAUGCAGAUGUUCAAGGAGUUCAUUCUGAGAAUGGACCAGUUUUGGUUGAAGAACUGGGAAAGAAGCACACAUCAAAGAACCUCAAGGCACCUCCCCCAGAAAGCUGGAACACAGUGUCAGGGAAGAAGAUGAAAAAACCUUCCACUUCUGGACAAAAUUUCCAUUCUGAUGUGGAUUACAGAGGGCCAAAGAAUCCAAGCAAGCCAAUAAAAGCCCCAUCAGCACUACCUCCUCGACUGCAGCAUCCUUCAGGAGUAAGACAACAUGCGUUCUCUAGUCAUUCUUCAGGGUCACAGUCUCAGAAAUUCUCCAGUGAGCACAAAAAUCUUAGCCGGACACCUUCACAGAUCAUAAGAGAAAACCUGAUCGUGAAAGAGUUGAGGAUUUUGAUCACACAAGUCGAGAAUCUAACUAUUUCGGCCUUUCCCCAGAAGAGCGCAGAGAGAAGCAAGCUAUAGAAGAAUCCCGUUUACUCUAUGAGAUUCAGAACAGAGAUGAACAGGCUUUCCCAGCCCUUUCCGUAUGUAUGAAAAGACAGUUUAAAA